CUCCACUGGUCUGGUGUAGAACAGGCUCUCUGGAGGUGGUUUGUAACUGUGGUCACAAAAAUCAAUGUUCUGGGAGAACAGGAAGCAGCUCCAUUUUUGGGAGGCCCUUUGCACAGCUCAAGGUCUGGGUCCCAGGGUCCACCUUCAUGUUCCACCAAUGAGUUUGUUCACAGGGGGUGGAGUGUGUAGGGGAUGUCCUGAAAUGUGUGUAAGGAAUGCAUUGUGUGAAUCUGUGUUUGUAUGUGUAAGGGCUGCAAGGUGUGUUUCUGUGUAUGUACGGGAUGCAUUGAGUGUGUUUAAGGGGUGCAUUGAG
rnacentral:lncRNA from 1 species